rnacentral:rRNA from 1 species
GACAGAGGCCUCGAGCGUUAGGCGGAAUCACUGGGCUUAAAGCGUGUGUAGGCGGAUCGUUAAGUACCUUGUGAAAUCCCACGGCUCAACCGUGGAACGGCUGGGUAUACUGGGCGGUCUUGGGCCAUUCAGGGGCGACUGGAACAAGCGGUGGAGCGGUGAAAUGCGUAGAUAUCGCUUGGAACGCCAACGGUGAAAACAGGUUGCUGGGGGUGUGCUGACGCUGAGACACGGAAAGCCCAGGGGGAGCGAACGGG